rnacentral:lncRNA from 1 species
CCAAGAAACCGUCAAACCCACAUGGCAUUCCUCAGGGAAUUCUGCCAAACAUUUAAGGAUCUUACGCAAACUCUUCCAGAAAAGAAGAGUGGAGGGGAAAAAAAAAAAAAAGGAAGAUUCCUCAGCUGUCUUGGGGUGGACCGCAUUGCCGUGGCUCCAGAAUCCUUCAGAACCAUUAUAAGCUCACAAGACAAGGCAACCAGACGCCAACGGCCCUAGGAGAUUGCGGCCGCAGUGGUUCUGGGAAGCACCCCCUGCAAAGCCAGCAGCCGCUUCCUGCAGAAAUCCUUACGGAGAGAAAAGCGAGCCUGGGCCUCCGUGGGGUUGGUCAGGUCCUCUACUUGACCCUGAAUCUCACCCUAACGCCGUCAGGAAGCCAGUACAGAGCUGCUCACAAGGGUCCUUUGGCCUGAAUCGCUCGGCAGUAGGAAUUAAAGACCCAAUUCAGUGAAUGCAUGUGGAGUGUCUGGCGGGUCCCUGGCGUGGCAUGGGCACAGGGAACCCCAUCACGGGAAAGACGGGGGCCUCCCGCAGCCUCCCGGGGCUCGUGACCCCACACGGAGGAAGGUGAGACCAGUAAGGCCCCCAGAGCCCCCGCUGGGCUGGAUGUGUGGUCCGUCCCCCGGUGAGCACUCAUGCAGUGCCCUGUGUUAGACAUCAGUACGUGGCAUCCAGAUUCCGCCCCCGCCAGACCCCCUGCCCAGCUGCUUGGGGGCACUGUCCAGUGACCUGCUCCUUCUGCCUCCGCCUCGGCUGCAGAGAGCUGCCUGGCCAAAGUCACCCCUCACCUCCAAGGACUCAGCCGGGCGGGGCAGACGUUUGGGCUACGUCAGUGCAACAAGGGACACCUGUGGUGGACAGUGACUGCCCAGAGCUCCCUGCCAGUUGGUCCUGCAUGGCCAGUCCACAUCUCCCUGUGCUGGACCUGCUCCCAGCCCCUUCCCGGGGGGGAGGCUGAUCCCUGGUUAACACCCCGCACCCUAACUCCCACGUGUCAGCAUCAGCUGCGGGAGAGGCCAGCCGUCCAUGGGUACCACCCUCGGCUCCAGCUGCAUCCCCGUCUCUCCUGCCCCGCUUUUCCCUCUGCCCCAAUUUGCUCACCUAUUUUUUAAGUUGUUAUCAUUGCCGUUCUGUUCUCCUGUAUCUACCACAUGUAGGUCAACGUAAAUUGUUUUCAAAUAAUGGGAAUGUAUGUUUGAAAGGAGAGUUUGCCGAUGAUGCUAGUACCUCAAAGGAGCUGGUGUUUCAUCUUCCUGCGUUGGGAAUAGGCCGUCCCUCCUUAAUUUGCCUUUAAAAACCUGGGACUUUAGAGCCUGCCCUUUCUCACGAUAAGACUCACCUUCAGCACCGACUGGGAAAAGAAGUGUUUUACUUUAUUCUCCCUGAAGCUCUGCUCAAAAAGAGCAGCUCCCAUCCUGCCGUGAUGUGUACCCUCUCUGAUCCCAAGACCGCUUGACCAAAGCCACUGCCCCCGCUCCCCCACAGACACAUGCACGCCGGUGCCACAUCCGUGUGGCCUCGCCAAGUGCUGUCCUGCUUUGAGAGGUGGAUUCAAAUCCCUUAAGCAUGAACGUGCUGGCCAGAGUCCCGAAAACACCCUCCCCCUCCACCAGGGCUGGAUCCUUCUUUCUGGGAGAAUCGGACCCGGAUAGGGAUGGGAAAGGGUCUAAAACCCCAGUCCAGAUGAGCCCGAGGGUGCUAAGGAUUUGAGUCAAGUCACAAGCAGCCAGGAGACCCUCCCAGGAGGCUGCCCGUCCCGAGUCCUGUGGGCGGAGGGGACAACCUUGGGCAAGGGUGUCCUGCCCCCAGAUUCCCACAGGGCGGUUACUGCAGGGUGAGGAGAGAACCGCUCCAAGGUGUAAACAGAUGGGCCCCGUGGGGUCACAGCUGUCACAUUUCAUAACAUUUGUGGUUUGCCAACAGCUGUGCUUUAUUAGAUGGACGCCGUUGUGGGUGAGAGGGUAGGACCGUCUCCGCACAGGGGACCCCAGGGCCUGCGUAAGGAGGGUGUGUUAUUCUGACGUGUUGUUCUGUGGCCCUGUUCUUCCUCCUGCUGGUGCUGCUGCUUCUGUUGCUUUUGCUGUGGUCAUGGUGCUGGUGGUCCUUGUUGCCUGGAUGCUGGGGUUCUCAUGGCAGCUGUUGGAGGGCAAUGAGAACUGUCCCCAGAGCUGCUGUGCUGGGUUCCCAUAGGAGAAGACCCGCCACCACUGUGUCCCUGGAUAUGAGGAGAAACUGACUUUUCCUAAGAUGCCCUGGGUAGAAGAGUGCCCCCCACACAUCCUGGCACCAGAGCCUUUGAACAAGACCUGGUUUGCAAAUGAGGCCUGUGCAGGUGUGAUGAAAGAUCUGAGAGGAGGUCCUCCUGGAUGAGGGGGGCCCUCCAUCCAAGGACAGUGUCCUCCUAAGAGACAGAAGAGGAGACACAGACACAGAGGAGAAGCCACAUGAAGAUGGAGGCAGAGACAGGAGGGAGGCGGCCACCAGCCCAGGGCUGCCUGGAACCCCCAGAAGCUGGAGGAGGCAGGAAGGACCCUCUCCUGGAGCCUCUGGAGGGAGCGUGACACUGGGACCCCUUGACCUUAGAUGUCUGGUCUCCAGGAUGGGGAAGGUGGGUUUCUUUGAGCUCAGCCUCCUGAAUAGAGGGAGAGAGAUUGAGGUCUCUUCUUCCAAGGACACCAGUCCUAUCAGACCAAGACUCCACCUUACGACCUCAUUUAAUCUUAAUGACUUCCUUACUCCAAAUGCAGUUCCAUUUCAUGUCAGGGCUUCAACAUAAUGAGCUUGUGGGGGACACAAGCCAUUCCAAAGCAGUGAGACCACAUGGUCUCUGUCACAAAGACUCAACUCUGCCAUUGUAGGGCAGAAGUUGCCCUAGACCAUACAUUAGUGAAGGGGCAUGGCUGUAUUCCUAUAAAACUUUACUGUCAAAUUUGAGCAUCAUAAGAAGUUUCAGGGGUCAGAAGAUGUAUUUCUCCAGAUUGGUGUUCAGCCAUUGAAGGAUGUUACACCCCCAUUAUGUGGUCCAUGUGUAUGAAAUGUUUAGAACAGGCAAGCAAUAGAUGCAGGAGUAGAUUAGCUGUUGCUUAGAGCUGCUGUUGUGGUGGGUAAGAGGGUGAUAGCACAAAGGUACCAGUUUCUUUUUGGGAUUCUAAACUUGAUUGCCAUGCUGGCUCCACAAUUCUGCAAAUUAUUUCUCAGGAAAGCUGCUUAAAACAAUGUAAAAUCAUUUUUAACCUGUGGGUGGGCCACACCAAAGCAGGUGACGGGCCAUAGUUUGCAAACCUGCAGCAGGAUACCGUGGUGCUACCAGAGUUACUGUCAUGGCCUGCAGAGGUAUUUGUUGCCAUCUGCAAAUGUCCUAGUGCCCAGAGCCAUAAACGGCAGACCUUGGGUGUUGCAGGAAAGAGAGAGGAUGCUGGAUCCCAUCUCAGUAGAAAAGACCCCCAUAGAAGAAGGAAGUUUGUUGUCAAAGUACUGUGUUUGCCCAUCUUAGCCAUUUCCACGGCCAUUGUGCAUUUUCACCACUGUAGCAUUAAUUGUCCAAAAUUAAUAACCCAAAUGCCAGGUAGUAAUACCUUCAGACAUUUGUCUUCUAGAGUCCUGGAUUUGAAGAUGGAGAAACCAAGCUUCACAGAAGAAGCAGUACAGUCUAUACUCAGGGACACACAGCUGAGGGAGAUGGUACGAGAGCUGGAGCCACAUUGCUGGGCUCUGCUGUCCCCAGACCCCUCAGCAUCCUCAGGGGUGGCUUGACAAAGCUGCAAGAGGCUUUCCCACACAGGGAGGUGAUUUUGAGAAGGGUUUCUCCUCUGGAGCCUUCACCUAUGCAAAAUAUAUGCUACACAGCUCAGAAAGAAUGAGAAAGCACACCCAUAAAACACCAGAUUCCAGGACAGCUAAGUCCUAAUGGUGCCCUGAAACAUUCAAACGUUAAAGCAAACGCUUAGAAAUGUCAUGACAGCAUCAUUCCAACAUUCAUCCUGAGCCACUGCUUCUGGAUCAGUUCUAUAAACGGUCAGAAGCAGCGGUAAACACAUCCCAGUACAGAUGCACCGGGUUGCUCCAGGUCAGCAGGAUGUGAUUGAUGUCGCCUCAAAAUCUGUGUCCUCGUCAAUCACUGGGUUUGUUCAGGUUGUUUUUCUUGGUGGGGAGAGGGGAUGGGGGGGGAGUGUGUCGUUUUCUUGGGGCAAACACACAGAGUUUGUGCUUAAGCUCACUGCGGCCAGUAUUCUACUGCCCUGAGCAUGCAAGACGGAGAUGGACAAGACAUCAGAAAAAGCAGCCAGGAGCCCUGGUCCCUGAAGCCAGAUUCUGGUAUGGGCACAACAUGGCACCGAAUGUGUCCAAGCUGCGGCAAGCAGCUGACACUUUCGGAAAGGCGGCAGAUGCAGCAGCUUGCUGGGAGGAAAACGCUGCUGGACGGGGAUGGGGCCACAGGUGAUGACGCAUCUUCGUGGUUCAGCAACUCUCAUCCUGGGAGAUGAAGGGUCCAAACUCUGCUCCUCCUGCCUCCUCCUAAGGUCCCGUGGGGACUGCGGGUCUCUGCCGGCUGGACUGGGAGGAUUUGCUUUCUGGGCUUUUUGCUCCCUG